AGAGUUUGAUCCUGGCUCAGGAUGAACGCUAGCGGCAGGCUUAACACAUGCAAGUCGAGGGGUAGGUGUCUUCGGACAUUGAGACCGGCGCACGGGUGCGUAACGCGUAUGCAAUCUGCCUCUCACUGGGGAAUAGCCCGGAGAAAUCCGGAUUAAUGCCCCAUGGUAUUUUGGAAUGGCAUCAUUCUAUUAUUAAAGAUUUAUCGGUGAAAGAUGAGCAUGCGUCCCAUUAGUUAGUUGGUGUGGUAACGGCACACCAAGACGAUGAUGGGUAGGGGUCCUGAGAGGGAGAUCCCCCACACUGGUACUGAGACACGGACCAGACUCCUACGGGAGGCAGCAGUGAGGAAUAUUGGUCAAUGGACGCAAGUCUGAACCAGCCAUGCCGCGUGCAGGAUGACGGCCCUAUGGGUUGUAAACUGCUUUUGUACGGGAAGAAACCGCUCUACGUGUAGAGCUUUGACGGUACCGUAAGAAUAAGGAUCGGCUAACUCCGUGCCAGCAGCCGCGGUAAUACGGAGGAUCCAAGCGUUAUCCGGAAUCAUUGGGUUUAAAGGGUCCGUAGGCGGCCUUGUAAGUCAGUGGUGAAAUCUUUCGGCUCAACCGGAAAAUUGCCAUUGAUACUGCAAGGCUUGAAUUAUUGGGAAGUAACUAGAAUAUGUAGUGUAGCGGUGAAAUGCUUAGAGAUUACAUGGAAUACCGAUUGCGAAGGCAGGUUACUAUCAAUUAAUUGACGCUGAUGGACGAAAGCGUGGGGAGCGAACAGGAUUAGAUACCCUAGUAGUCC
rnacentral:rRNA from 1 species